UACGUAGGGUGCAAGCGUUAAUCGGAAUGACUGGGCGUAAAGGGUGCGCAGGCGGUUAUGCAAGAUAAAGGUGAAAUCCCCGGGCUCAACCUGGGAAUGGCCUGUGUGACUGCAUAGCUAGAGUGUGUCAGAGGGAGGUAGAAUUCCACGUGUAGCGGUGAAAUGCGUAGAGAUGUGGAGGAAUACCGAUGGCGAAGGCAGCCUCCUGGGAUAACACUGACGCUCAGGCACGAAAGCGUGGGGAGCAAACAGG
rnacentral:rRNA from 1 species